rnacentral:rRNA from 1 species
GUCCACGCCGUAAACGAUGGGUGCUAGGUGCUGCGGGCUUUGACCCCUGCUGUGCCGUAGCUAACGCAUUAAGCACCCCGCCUGGGAAGUACGGCCGCAAGGCUAAAACUCAAAGGAAUUGACGGGGGCCCGCACAAGCGGUGGAGCAUGUGGUUUAAUUCGACGCAACGCGAAGAACCUUACCUGGGCUAGAAACAUAGGAACCCUACUGAAAAGCGGGGGUGCUCUUCGGAGAACCUGUGGUUAGGUGCUGCAUGGCUGUCGU